AUGACCCUGUCAAGUUCCCUUUCUUUCCAUUUUAGAUGUAAAAUAUCGAUUUCAGGUUUGCCUUUCCUUUUUAUUGCCUGGGAGGUUCCCUGUUAUAGCCCAGGGCUGAGAAAGCUGGAUUGCCCGGGGGCUGCUCUGCCUCACCUCCCCGCAGGAGUCAGCCAGCGCUGCAAGAAGGGCAGAGAUGAGAAGUCACAGCUCUGUCUAAACGGAUCAGAGAAGGGAAAGUUUCCUAGUAUUAGCAGGGGCAGAUGGGCCCCCGGUUGGCCUCUGCUCCCACGGUUGAAGCCAACUGCCCAGCGAUGGCAGCGCCAUCUCCAGCCAUGCAGCGCGGGUUGCCAUCCCCUCAGCCCCCGUGACUGGGGCGGGCAGGAAAGCUCCGCCCACGCCCGGCGGGAGGCGGGCGAUUAUGGCGCUGGGCUCGGAGGCGCUGUCGGAGCGGCCGGUGCAGCUGGCGCUGAUGCUGGCCUUCGCUUCAGGCGUGCUGGUGGGCUGGCAGGCCAACCGCAUGCGCCGCCGCUUCCUCGACUGGCGCAAACGGCGCCUGCAGGCCCAGUUGGUGGCCACGCAGAAGAAGCUGGAUCUGUCCUGACCGCCUGACUGGGAUGGAAGCCGACAAUUGAAUGAACAUAAACAGACUCCUGCUCCCUUUUUAUCUAAAUAUAUUUGAAGAAAUGAGGUUUUAUACCAUACAAAUAUCUUCACACACUUCAUCACUUGAAAAAGAUGGCAUCUGUGGUAUAAUAGUCUUGCUUGCCCAAACUGACAUCUCCAAAAAUGAUCUUCAUGUGUAUUAAAAUAACCUCUGUAUGGCUACGAUGAGUUAAAUUGGUACUAUGACUGCAUAUCUGUUGCCUUGUAUUUUUGAGGAUUGUUCUAAGGACAGUUUGACACCCCUGUUAUCAGAGACGACCCGAGCAGGGUGAGGGGCCUGGGGCAAAUCAGCCUGUGCGGGACCUCACCCCAGGACAUGAGGAACUUGGCAGCAGAUUCAGUGGUGAGGGGCCGGGGGGGGUGCCGAGCGGCCAGACAUGAAGCUGGCAGCAGCAUGGAAUUGCCGUGACCACUCUGCCUGGCUCCACAGGGCCCCCCAAAACACCGGGCCUGGGGCAGUUGCUCUGAUUUGCCCCCCACAGACGGUCCUGUUCUAUUUCUUUACUUUUCUAUUUGCUUGUCCCUGUGUCUUUUGACUCUAAACCUGCUUCUGUACAGUAUAUGACUCUUGCCACCAAAACUGUCAAUAUUUAAAGCUAAUAAAAUGUAAUUUAGGUUGCUUGUUAAGUACA
rnacentral:lncRNA from 1 species